CUUGGCUUUCUCUUGGAAUCCCUUCCCCUAUGGCAGGAAGUAGAGGAAAGGCAAAGUAGCUUUGGGAACCAGGUGAGCGUUUUCCCCAGCGAGGAUGAGAAACGCCUCCCCACACCCCCUGAAACCCCUGAAUUCGGAAGGACGGGAAAUGCUGGGAGUUCCCUUGAGCCGAGCGUAGGAGGUGCCACGUCCCGCCUGGUGUCUCCUGGGACUUAAGGCGGGAAGCGACGGUCCAGUUGGGCGGACUUGUGGGGCUGCUACCCACUCCGGCGCAGUGAGCUCAGCGCGCAGGGGAGGGACCUCGCUGCCACGAACCUCCAGAAGCCAACCGUUGGGAGGAGAGAGGAAAAAGCUCCGAGGGGUGCAUGUGCAGGGUGCGUGCGCGUGUAAGUGGAGUGGUACGUGUAGUUAGAAGGCAUGCGUGUGUAUGAAGGGGUGUAGAGAGGUGCGCGUGUGAGGAGGCGAGCGUGCGCGGGAAUACUUGUGGGCGUGUGGAGAUGUGUGGGAGAGAUGCGAAGAUGUGAUUUACACAGGUGCGGACGAAGGAAUGUGCGAGUGGUGACCUGGAGAUGCGUUCCAGUGUGGAGACUCACUAAGAAGCCCGUGGGGGAUGGGCGUGUGUGCACGUGGAGGUGUGUAUGAGGGGAUAUAGAUGUAUUAAUAUGUAUGCGUGAGCAUGUAGUGCGUACGUGCGUGGGGGUCCGUGCGUGGGGGUGCGUGCGUGCGUUGGGUGGUGCGUGCGUGGUGGGGACGCGAGAGCUGGAAGGAAGGCAGACGUAGCGGAACGCGAGAGCCAGGCAUACCUAGUUGUGCUGUCAGCCAAAGCGAACCAAGUUCAUCCUGUAAAGUCACAUGCCUGAAUUUGCUGAGAAUGAUGUUCUCCAGAUUCAUCCAUGUUGAAGAGAGCCAAAUCAAGAACGAACUGCCAUUCACAAUUGCUACAAAAAGAAUAAAAUACCUCUGAAUACAACUCACAAGGAACGUAAGUGACCUCUUCAAGGAAAACUACAAACCACUGCUCAACGAAAUCAGAGAGGACACAAACAGAUGGAGAAACAUUCCAUGUUCAUGGUUAGGAAGAAUUAAUAUCGUAAAAAUGGCUAUACUGCCCAAAGUUUUUACCACUUUAAAUGUAGCAUUCACUGACAUUAGGUAAAUUUACUUUGUUGUUCAGUCAUCACCACCGUCCCUUUCCAGAACAUUUUCAUUUCCCAAACUGAAAUUUCACAACUAUUAAAUAAUUACUCUGUAUUACCCUUUCCCUCAAGCCCCUUGUAACUUUCUGUCUCUGUGAAUUUGACUACUUUAGGUAACUUUUAUCAGUGGAAAUAGACAAUAUUUGCCAUUUUAUGUCUGGCUUAUUUCACUUAGCAUAGUGUCUCCCUGGUUUAUCCAUGUUGUAGCAUGUGUCUGAAUUUCCUUCCUUAUUAAGGCUGAAUAAUAGCCUAUUGUAUGUAUAGACCACAUUUUGUUUAUCCAUUCCUCCACAGAUGGACAUUUGGGUUGUUUCCACUUUCCCAUUUUCUUUACAGUUGCAUUUUUAUUGAUUGUAUUUAUUUGAUAUUGUUUGAUUCUAUUCACAUACAAUAAAAUUUACUGCUUUUUUAAAGUGUAGCUUUUU
rnacentral:lncRNA from 13 species